AUGGUAAUUAAUUUUAAAAGGCUUAAUGAUAAUACAGUUGACGAUGCAUACAACAUACCUAAUAAGCAGGAAUGGAUUAACAGAAUACAAGGAAGUAAAUAUUUCUCUAAAUUCGACUUAAAGGCAGGAUUUUGGCAAGUAGAAAUGGUUGAAGAAUCUAUUCCCUGGACAGCAUUUACUUUUCCACAAGGCCAUUAUGAAUGGCUAGUAAUGCCAUUAGGUCUAAAGAAUGCACCUGCACUAUUUCAAAGAAAAAUGCAAAAUAUAUUUAAUGAGAAUCAAGCAUUUAUAUUGGUAUACGUAGAUGAUUUGUUAGUAUUCUCAAAAUCAUACAAAGAGCAUAUAGCCCAUCUUUAA
rnacentral:rRNA from 1 species